CCUACGGGGGGCAGCAGUGGGGAAUAUUGCACAAUGGGGGAAACCCUGAUGCAGCGACGCCGCGUGAGUGAAGAAGGAUUUCGGGAUGUAAAGCUCUAACAGCAGGGAAGAAAAGGACGGUACCUGAGUAAGAAGCCACGGCGAACUACGUGCCCGAAGCCGCGGUAAUACGUAGGGGGCAAGCGUUAUCCGGAUUUACUGGGGGUAAAGGGAGCGUAGACGGCAGCACAAGUCUGGAGUGACAUGGCGGGGCUUAACCCCGUAACUGCUUUGGACACGGUGCAGCUAGCGUGCAGGAGUGGUGAGUGCACUUCCUCGUGUAGCGGUGAAAUGCGUAGAUAUUAGGAGGAACCCCAGUGGCGACGGCGGCUUACUGGACUGUAACUGACGUUGCGGCUCG
rnacentral:rRNA from 1 species